CCUUACGCCUUUCUUCCGUCGGCGUCGUCUAGGGUUUUAGACCCUGUAAUUCAUCAACCUUCAAUUCACAAACCUGACCAGAGUCUGGAGGCGGAGCCGCCGUAGAAAUAUUACUGUUACCAUCCUCCUCUUGGUGACCGCCCUGCGCCAUAUGGCCUUCCGGAUUCAGGGAACUUCUGGAUUCAGGGCCUGCACAUGGACAGGGUGAUUACCAAAGGGAUGACGGUAAUAUUUAAUUCAUGAUGUUGGCAAACUCGUCGGAAAAUCGACGCCGGCGCUGGCAAACUCACCGGCGUCAGGGCUCUGAAGUGGCCGCCAUAUCAUUCCUCUCUCUGACGUUUCACGAAGAAGAUAAGGAACACCAAAUUAUGCUAAAUUUCAGUGCUUUUUGCUGUUUAUCUUUGUUUUUGUGUUCUUGGUUUCAGGGUUUGGUUCCUGGUGACAGGGUUCGAAGGCCGGAGAGAGAGAGAGAGUGUUGCACCAGCAAAAUGAGAAUGGGACAAGAUAUGUUGGUGGAAAUCCUAUCAAAUUGCCUCCCAAAACUCUCUAAAUGGUGGUAUGCUCUCAUCACCAAUCUGAGUUUUGUAUUGAAGCACCUCUCCAACUCUGCCAAAAACCACCUCACCACUCGCAACCUCCUUUUCAAGCGAUAGUAGUGCAGUGGCAGCAUGAGGAGGAGGAGGAGGAAACUGAACAAGUAUUCUCGUUGCUUAAGUUAUGCAAAGACGAUGAUAAUAUCGAUGACGAGGAAAGCAAUAGCUGCUCUUUUGUUGGUGUCCAGGACAUCAUUGUUCCUCACUCUUUUAUUCAAAAGGUCCAGAAAGUCCCGAAAGAACUGGAUAUUGUAGGACACUGUAACGGCAUCGUUUUGAUGAUCCAGAAGGCCAUCAUUUAUUUCGAUACAAGUCGCUAGGUAUUUCAUGGUAUGCCCGAACCAUCUGAGCUCCAACUAUUACCCCUGGGGCGUGACCAUGAUUUGAAGCUUAUUGUGUGGAAUGAAUCAGUUUCUUACGGUUCACAAUGAUGGACACGCAGUUUGCUUUAAUAUUUGUACUAAAAAGCUCACGUAUUUCCCAUUGAAACACGAGGUGAGUUUGUUGGUUAUGUGAAUAGCUUAGUUUCGGUCAAGGGACGCAACCACAAGCCUGAGAGCAUGGAGAGUAAUUGCUCAGACAAAGAUGGAGAUGCGAUGGUGGCGGUAGAUGGGAAGAGGGAAAGCUGCAGGAGGCGGUACACAUAUUCCGUUUAGGCCAUUCAACGGCUGAUGUUUCCCAUAGAAUCGAGAGGGUGAUGGAGGGCCUCCGGGCAGAGUUUGGUGCGUUUCCCUGUAAACAGUUAUGUGCCAUACUUGAGCCUCCUCUACGGGAAGUCGACGGAAGAAGAAGAAGAAGAAAAAAACUCGAGAACUGGUUAAUGCUCUGGAUGAGGGCAUUACUAGCUUGACCUUCCGCGUAACUCGCUUUGCAUUGUAUGAAAUCGACUACGAUGACAAAUCUCUGAAUUCUUGGACGAAGAUUGAUGAAAUCGACCAUUAGACAGAUUCUCUGAAUUCAUAUAAUUGCAAGCAAGUUAGCAACUCUGAGGUCGAACAAAGUCAUAAUAUAUCAAUCAUUUGCAAACGUGGAGUAAUAUAUCAAUAUCAAAGGAUCCAGGGAA